rnacentral:rRNA from 1 species
AUACGGAGGGUCCAAGCGUUGUUCGGAAUUAUUGGGCGUAAAGCGGGUGUAGGCGGUUUUGCAAGUCGGGUGUGAAAGCCCUGGGCCCAACCCAGGAAUUGCAUCCGAUACUGCAUCACUAGAGUCCCUGAGAGGAUGGCGGAAUUCCAGGUGUAGAGGUGAAAUUCGUAGAUAUCUGGAGGAACACCAGUUGCGAAGGCGGCUACCUGGACCGGUACUGACGCUGAGGUGCGAAAGCGUGGGGAGCAAACAGCAGUAGAAACCCCAGUAGUCC